UUACAGUGUUCUCACUUUUAGUUUUAUAAUUAAAAGUUAAUUAACAUUUUAAUUGUUGUUGCGGUGUGUAUUUGUUACUGAGCGUGUAGUAGUGAUGGGUCGUUUUUGAACGAAUCUUUAAUGUGACUCGGGAAGAACAAGUCGUCUCAGGGAGUGAUUCGUUCAGUCGCGCAUGCGCAACAUCCUAUAGGUUCUGUACUGGAAUUAGUUCACCUGUUUCGAGUCAUCGGGUUUGAGUCGUUCGUUCUUUUGUCACGUGACCACUUGCCGGAUCAGUAAAAUACUAUAAAGUAAAACUGUAUUUUUUUGUAUGUUGGAUCAUAUUUAUCAAAAUAUGUGUAAUAAGCAUUUUCCUAGAAAUAAAAAUGGUCUGUUCAUUUCUGUCACUAUGUUUUUGUUACUCUUUCUUGAGGAUCUGUGUUAUUUUAUAAAUAAAUAAAACCCUGUUAUAAAUAAAAUAUUGAUUGAUUUGUCCUUUCACUCUCUUUGUCUAUCAAUAAACAUAUAAUAUAACUAUAUAAUAAAAAAAUCCAAGCCUAAAAUGACAAAGCACUUAUAGUUUGUACAUUUUUACUCCAAUUUUGACUUUGCUGGUAUAAUUGUUUUUCCUAGGCAGACUUGACAUAUUGGUCUAAUGUUUGUAUAAGAAGAUUGGUCAAAAAGGACACAAUGACAUAAAGUGAAAGCAAAUAACAUUUUGAAUAUGAAUGAUUAAUGUUAGUUUAAAAUAUUAAGGUUAUGAUCUGGCUCUGUGGCUUUAGUAUAUUUUAAUUUUCUUGUAUUUUUUAUUUAAAUUGUUUUAAUUCAUUUUGGAAUAGUUAUCCUCUUUGCUAAAGCUUUUUCUGGCACAAAAAUAAACAAUAAAAAAACAAUUCAAGAGUGUGUACACAGUGUUAAUGUCUAAAGUGUCAUAUGUUACAAAAGUAUAACACUAUAGUCUAAUCUAAAGGGUUAACUCAAAAGACAUAAAUACACCAAGGUAUUGUAUUUUAUGAAGAUUAGACUCCAAAAAAAAAAUAAAAAAAUUAAAUUAAAGCAUAACCAACUCUUUAUUAUCUUUAUUACUACAUUCAGUAUUAUGGAAAAGAACCAUUGUGACAGAGAUUAAAAGCAAUAAUUUGAGACCAGAAAUGCAUCACAUAACUGUACGAGUAAAUAAUAAUAAUGACUAUGCACCCGUUUGUAAGGAAGGUUGUAAAUUAACUAAUUUCUCUGCCCAAAGCGGUCACAUCACGUGACAAAAGAACGAACGACUCAAACCCGAUGACUCGAAACAGGUGAACUAAUCAAUUCUCUUUCCGGCUCUGACUGCAUAGGUUAGUGUAUGAGGCUGUCACGUGAUGAACGAACGACUCAAACCCGAUGACUCGGUAGGUGAACUAAUCAAUUCUCUUUCCGGCUCUGACUGCAUUGGUUUAGCUUAUGGGGCUGUCACGUGAUGAACGAACGACUCAAACCCGAUGACUCGGGAGGUGAACGAAUCAAUUCUCUUUCCGGCUUUGACUGCAUUGGUUAGUGUACGAGGCUGUCACGUGAUGAAUGAACGACUCAAACCCGAAUGCUUGUCAGAUAAGAGAGAUUAAGAUGACUAGGUGAAGAUCUGACAUCGCAGAAUUCUUCAAGGAUAACGCCUUUUCUGCCAAACGAGGUCUAAUUGCUGCUGGUGCUGUACUGUGCACCCCCUGCAUUCUUAUCAUGGAUUGCUGUCAUUCAAGAAGUUAUAAUUUCCUCCCAUUGUGGCUGAGCUACACAUUCCCUUUGUUUUAUUUUAAACACAAAACAUCCAGAGGAGAUGGCACCUACGCUGGAAUCCAUACAAAUUCUUCCUGCGAAGAAAUCCUGAACGAGGGUCAAAGGUUGAGGUGAUGGGAACCUACGCUUCCAAGACUUUGAGAAUCCAGGUACAAUUUGAGCUUUUUUCAAAUCUCAACAUGGAACUUGGACUGAACAUGCAGAAAAAAAAAAAAAAGUAGUUUUUAUACUAAAAGCACACAAGUUUAGUAUAGUUGUAUAGUAUAGUUUCACAUUGAAAUGUGAGGCAUGAGUGCAUGAAUCUUUGUUUUUUUUAUUUUCAAAUGCUGUAAAAGAAAGUAUUUUUUGCAGUACCAUGUCAAUUGUAGAUGCAGAUAAUUUAGCAUGAAUUAGAGGUUAGUAAUCUAACUUAAAGGGUUAGUUCACCCAAAAUGUUAUAUGAAAAAUCUUGUUCCAAUCCUGUUAGACUUUUGUUCAUUUUUGGAACACUAAUGAAGAUCCUUUUUAAUGAAAUCUGACAGCUAUACCUUAUUGGACCUUGAAAUGGUAGUUGUAUAUGGUAGUUGUCAGUGGAGGGACAGAAAGCACAGAGAUUUAAUUAAAAAUGUUUGUGUUCCAAAGAUGAAUGAAAAUCUUAUGGAUUUGGAACGGUAUGAGGGUGAGUAACUGAUGACAGAAUUCACAUUUUUGGGUGAACUGUCCUUUUAAAUAAUAUUGUGUUCUCCUAUAGGUUAAACGGUGUAAACACUGGAACAUUUCACUUGACUAUUGACUGUAAGUCUAUAGCAAUUGUUAUUAAUGACAGCCCUGUCUUUUGUAUAAAUUUUUUUUCCCCAUGUAUUUGAAAAUAUUUUGAAUCUUGACUGUUUCACAAUGAAGUUUAUCUUUUAUAUUUUACAAGUCAAGUACCUGCUCAUGUUUUCUUUUUUCUGCAUGUUGCUGUUUAAAACUAAAAUGUGUUCCAGAAUACAAGCAUUUUCAGUGGUGCUUUACACAUUGUUAAAUUAAUUGAUGUAAUAAUAUUUGUCUUCACCUGUUUAAGGCAAAUAAAAUCUACUGAACACACUUUUAAGAAUGUUUACAUGAGGUAAAAAUAA